GAAGUCACUGGACAACAAAAUAGAUUAUUUAUUCCCAAUGUCGUUGCUCUUGCAAAAUUGCAGGCCUAUUGGUUAUGUGGUGGUUAUGUUGGUUUUAUCUUCCGGUUGGUUGUUAGUCCCCUACAAGAGUUGUCACAAUAUGAAAAGGCUCCAAAAGGUGUCACGGUCAGGAAUCUUUUUUCCAGGCAUCCGGUGAUGAUUAG